GCCCGGUUAGCUCAAUCGGUAGAGCGUGAGACUCUUAAUCUCAAGGUUGCGGGUGAGUGGCUCCUCAAACACCCUACAAUAAGAAUUUAGAGUACUAACUUCCGCAGGUUCGACCCCCGCAUCGGGCU